GGCUCUUUGGCGAUGUGGUCAGCGCGUGAUGUGUGACUCUAACCCGGGAGUCUGGGGUUCAAUCCCCCGCCGGGCCC